rnacentral:rRNA from 1 species
AGAGUUUGAUCCUGGCUCAGAACGAACGCUGGCGGCAGGCCUAACACAUGCAAGUCGAACGCCCUAGCAAUAGGGAGUGGCAGACGGGUGAGUAACACGUGGGAACCUUCCCUAUAGUACGGAAUAGCCCAGGGAAACUUGGAGUAAUACCGUAUACGCCCGUAAGGGGAAAGAUUUAUCGCUAUAGGAUGGGCCCGCGUAGGAUUAGCUAGUUGGUCAGGUAAUGGCUCACCAAGGCGACGAUCCUUAGCUGGUCUGAGAGGACGACCAGCCACACUGGGACUGAGACACGGCCCAGACUCCUACGGGAGGCAGCAGUGGGGAAUAUUGGACAAUGGGCGCAAGCCUGAUCCAGCCAUGCCGCGUGAGUGAUGAAGGCCUUAGGGUUGUAAAGCUCUUUUGCCGGGGAAGAUAAUGACGGUACCCGGAGAAUAAGUCCCGGCUAACUUCGUGCCAGCAGCCGCGGUAAUACGAAGGGGACUAGCGUUGUUCGGAAUCACUGGGCGUAAAGCGCACGUAGGCGGAUUUGUUAGUCAGGGGUGAAAUCCCGGGGCUCAACCUCGGAACUGCCUUUGAUACUGCAAGUCUCGAGUCCGAUAGAGGUGGGUGGAAUUCCUAGUGUAGAGGUGAAAUUCGUAGAUAUUAGGAAGAACACCGGUGGCGAAGGCGGCCCACUGGAUCGGUACUGACGCUGAGGUGCGAAAGUGUGGGGAGCAAACAGGAUUAGAUACCCCGGUAGUCC